UUAUUGACUCAUUGAGUCAGCUCUUCUCAUUGCCAGGUUAGCUAAUUUUACAGAGAGGAAAUUAGCUUUAAUUUGAAUAGAGGACUACAUUGUGAAAUUUUGAGUGCUGUUAAAUAAAUAACUGAGAAUAUUUCAAACAACCCGGCUAAUGAAAUGUCCUGUAACAGUCAUGAGCUAGUAUGUUAGCAGUUAGCUAGUUGUGAAGCUAAGUCAGCUCAUCUCAGUGCUAAUUUGGAUGACAAAGCAGCUUUUAUUUGAAUAGGAUCGCUGCUACAGUUAAAGACACAAUUGAGAACAUUUCAAUGAAAAACCCAUGUAGAAUUUAUUGUAAGUGAUAAAAGUUUUGGUGACAUCCAGGUAAAGUUAAAAUCAGCUAAUAUUGGUAAGAUAGCUAAUAUCAGUAAUAAAACAGUUUACAGUUUAAUAGUGGCCUAUAAUUUGAAAGGCUGCUGAAUUGGAGCAGAAUUUGAAUUGGAGCAGAAAUAAAACAUAUGUCUAUCUGUGACAAAACAUUUCAUUUACUAGCAGUUAGCUAGCUAAAUAUUGUCUUACGUUUAAUUUGUUUUCCUGCUAAUUGGAUGAUUCAAAUCCCAGCCUGUGUAAUUAGCCGGUCUAGCCAAGCCCUGGUCGAGCCGAGUGAUAGGCAGCAGCUGAUUAAGCUCGUUUCAGAACAAUAAGCACAACCCAUCCAUCAAUGUCUGCCCGGGGGCAAAUCAGCCACUACAUCGAGUGUGAUCGGGGACAAAAAGAGAUUAACAAGUUUUGCCUGUCAUCCUCUGAAACGAACAUGGCAAAAGAACAGCGGGGGACAGUUGGAGAAAUAGAGAUAGGAAGCUCGGGGUCAUGACCCUAAGAGGACGGCGUGCUUUGUGGCCGUGCUCUGAGGAAUUAAAAAAAUGGUCAAAAGGGGAGACGGAUCUUUUUAACAGAAAUUGAAGGAAGGAGUUAAUUGGAGGAGUUCCUAA